UUGGAAGCCACUCCCAAAGCCACCUUAUCUCCGAGACACGGCUCGACAAGGACAAGGAGACUGUGGCACAAGGUCAAACAAAGCGGACCAACCUCGUCGUAUCACCCAUUAAGUGGGAGCGUGGCUCAGCGCCUACCUCCAGAAGCGGUGGCAGCUGUGCGUCGGUAUAGCCGAAGAGACUACUCUGCAAGACUUGCAGUGGUGACAUUCACGUCAAAGUUCUUCCGCUUUCCCAAGCAACCAUGACGCAACGCACGGCUAACCAUGGAUGACAUUCUCAUUUGCCCUGUCGGUGCAAUACUGUGCACUGGUGAGUAUUAAUCACUAUUGCGCCGUGCUUUUUCCUGCUGUCUGAUAGACAGUUUAUUCAUCCGCUCGCUCUCCUCUACUUUGGUGAUUCAGGCAUAGGGGCACUUUACACCGCGAUGUGCAUGGCAAAGCAUCGCAAUUUUCUGUUCUUAAAUUGGUUGCUGCGAAGAGACUGCUACACCUCAAAACCUCUUUU